rnacentral:rRNA from 1 species
AGAGUUUGAUCAUGGCUCAGAACGAACGCUGGCGGCAGGCCUAACACAUGCAAGUCGAACGAAGCCUUCGGGUUUAGUGGCGGACGGGUGAGUAACGCGUGGGAACGUGCCCUUCUCUACGGAAUAGUCCUGGGAAACUGGGUUUAAUACCGUAUACGCCCUUCGGGGGAAAGAAUUUCGGGGAAGGAUCGGCCCGCGUUGGAUUAGGUAGUUGGUGGGGUAAUGGCCCACCAAGCCGACGAUCCAUAGCUGGUUUGAGAGGAUGAUCAGCCACACUGGGACUGAGACACGGCCCAGACUCCUACGGGAGGCAGCAGUGGGGAAUCUUAGACAAUGGGGGCAACCCUGAUCUAGCCAUGCCGCGUGAGUGACGAAGGCCCUAGGGUCGUAAAGCUCUUUCGCCAGGGAUGAUAAUGACAGUACCUGGUAAAGAAACCCCGGCUAACUCCGUGCCAGCAGCCGCGGUAAUACGGAGGGGGUUAGCGUUGUUCGGAAUUACUGGGCGUAAAGCGCGCGUAGGCGGACUAUUAAGUCAGAGGUGAAAUCCCGGGGCUCAACCCCGGAACUGCCUUUGAUACUGGUAGUCUUGAGUUCGAGAGAGGUGAGUGGAAUUCCGAGUG